rnacentral:sRNA from 1 species
AAAAGAAGAAACAAGCA